GGCCCAGAGGAAGAGGUCUCUCCAGGGGUUCUCGCAGACCUGAUCCAGGUCCGGUAGGUCUUUCUGGCUGUGGAAGAGCCGACCCUUGCUGACCCUCUCCUGAGACAAAAUGCAAAGCACAAAAGAAGCCCUUGCAGGAGUCAUGCAGAAAGUCCUUCAGGACCUUGGAGACCUCAUGCAGAGUGAAGCGAGGCCGUCUGUCUCCGAUCUCCAUGUAGGGCAGGCCAGGGGUCCGAGCUGAGGCCAGCAGGACCUGUUUCUCCUGGUGUUUCUUCAGGAGGAGGUCAAAGAGCAGGCUCUUCUCAGACACAGAGCUGUACAGCUCCUGAAGACGGCCAUACGUCAGAAACUCACCCAGGUUCACCCCAUUCUCCACAAACAGACGCACAAAAUCUGGCCACGGCUAGUUUCAGCUCAUCCAGAAAGUCCUGCGCCUCCUGACUCUGACUUUUACAGGCUGAGGGAAGAGAACAGAGAAGAGAAAAGAAUAAUACACCAACAUAAAUAAGGCAAAUGGACAUAAACAUUCUUUAAAAACUUGAAUUCUGCUACAUAUUAUUGACAAUCAUGCCAUGAACAUGUAAUGGCAAAUGUCAUAUGAUGUGAGUUGUCAAAAUAUAACAGUAUAACUGUCUUGUUAACAUUACUGGUUCAUGAUAACCUGCCAUAAUGUUUGAUGUCAUGACAUACAGUAUUAUGCCACAUGCUCAUCUUUGCUAUGUACUUUAGUGUGCUGUGUCAUCCAGUGUAGCAUAUGUUAUGACAGUUAAUGGUAAUGAUAACAUUGACACUGUUAUAU